UGGGGAAUAUUGCACAAUGGGCGCAAGCCUGAUGCAGCCAUGCCGCGUGUGUGAAGAAGGCCUUCGGGUUGUAAAGCACUUUCAGCGGGGAGGAAGGCGUUAAGGUUAAUAACCUUGGCGAUUGACGUUACCCGCUGAAGAAGCACCGGCUAACUCCGUGCCAGCAGCCGCGGUAAUACGGAGGGUGCAAGCGUUAAUCGGAAUUACUGGGCGUAAAGCGCACGCAGGCGGUCUGUCAAGUCGGAUGUGAAAUCCCCGGGCUCAACCUGGGAACUGCAUUCGAAACUGGCAGGCUAGAGUCUUGUAGAGGGGGGUAGAAUUCCAGGUGUAGCGGUGAAAUGCGUAGAGAUCUGGAGGAAUACCGGUGGCGAAGGCGGCCCCCUGGACAAAGACUGACGCUCAGGUGCGAAAGCGUGGGGAGCAAACAGG
rnacentral:rRNA from 1 species